CGGAGCCGGGACGCGGGCGCGGCUGCGCUGGGCGCGGGGAGGGGGCGCGGCCCGCACGUGUAUGGGAGGGAGGGGUCUCCGUGCGGCGUCCCCGGCAACCUGCACGUGGGGCCGCAGCCACGCGCCCACGCUGAGCGAAGCCUCAGCGCUCUGGGCCCCAGCACGUGGCGCCUCGCGGCGCGCGCGCGCUUGCGGCGGGCCGGGACGCCAAGUGCGGGCGGGAGCCCGCGGGCGCUGGCGCCCCUCUGCCUCCCCGGGGGAGCGCGCGGGAGGCUCGCGCACAGCCGCCAGCCGGAGUGGUCUCCGGCCCACCGCACGCUAGGACGCGGCAGAGCUCGAUCCCGAGACUGCAGGCCCCGGGCAGGUGCAGCCCCUCGGCCGCGCGGAGCUCCAGCCCCCCAGGUGCCGCCAGAGGACCCUCCCCGGCCGGUGGCAGAAGAGCGGAGCCCGCGCUCUUCACGUGGAGGUGUCGUACUCGCUGGCAGGUGGGACGCGAGCCCGGGGGUCAAAGGACGAAACAUAGCGUUCAGUUUAGAUCGUAAGAGCGCGUCCUCUUGCGUCCCACCGCGCCACCUGCCUUUUAGAAGUUCCUGCAGGAAGCCGGUGAUGUGGCAGAACAGCCCUGGGGCCGGCCCACCUGUGACCCCGACCCCCCAAACUACCGUCACUUUGCAGUAGAGGAGCCAAAUCCCGGAUUCCAAGUUGGAGACGUAACAGCAGCUUAGUGGAGGGUGACAGAAGGACAGUGGAAGGAACUGGAAGGAAAGCAAGCCCUGUGCCCAGACCAACUUGCUGAGACAGCUGCGGUGGACCUAAGUUCCCGUGCAUCUCUGCCACCUCAUCUCAGGCUGUUCCAUGGGACACCCCAACACCUGCCUCCAGAAGCAUACAGUCAAGGGGCCUUCCUGGGUGGAUCUGCCAAAAACAGAUGACGGCAUGUAAAGCCAGAGCACCUGAUGCACGUAGGAGGGAGGAGGAGUGCCUGGCAUUCCAGAGUGCCGUGGAGGAGGAGUGUGCACAUGGUGCCUGCCAGCUGGAACAAGGCAGGGCAGUAAGACCCAAAGGUACCAACAUGAUAAUCUACACGUCAUAAUUCUACCAGACGCAACACUUACACAAUGCCAAGAAAGCGUGCUUCGAGGCCAUCAGAACCAGCACUCUCCGGAGGAUAUCCUUAUUG